rnacentral:rRNA from 1 species
UACGAAGGGGGCUAGCGUUGUUCGGAAUUACUGGGCGUAAAGGGCGCGUAGGCUGUUUGGUAAGUUAGAGGUGAAAGCCCAGGGCUCAACCCUGGAAUUGCCUUUAAGACUGCUAGACUUGAGGCCGAGAGAGGUGAGUGGAAUUCCCAGUGUAGAGGUGAAAUUCGUAGAUAUUGGGAAGAACACCAGUGGCGAAGGCGGCUCACUGGCUCGGUUCUGACGCUGAGGCGCGAAAGCGUGGGGAGCAAACAGG